rnacentral:rRNA from 1 species
CCAAUAGCGUAUAUUAAAGUUGCUGCAGUUAAAAAGCUCGUAGUUGAAUUUCGGGACCAUCAUGUCGGUCGUGCCUCGGUACGUACUGGUAUUGUUGGUUUCUCCCUUCUGACGAACCAUGAUGUCAUUUAUUUGGUGUUGUUGGGAAUCAGGACUGUUACUUUGAAAAAAUUAGAGUGUUUAAAGCAGGCUCACGCUUGAAUACAUUAGCAUGGAAUAAUGAAAUAGGACGUUUGAUUCUAUUUUGUUGGUUUCUAGGAUCGACGUAAUGAUUAAUAGGGAUAGUUGGGGGCAUUAGUAUUCAAUUGUCAGAGGUGAAAUUCUUGGAUUUAUUGAAGACUAACUACUGCGAAAGCAUUUGCCAAGGAUGUUUUCAUUAAUCAAGAACGAAAGUUAGGGGAUCGAAGACGAUCAGAUACCGUCGUAGUCUUAACCAUAAACUAUGCCGACUAGGGAUCGGAUGAUGUUAAUUUUUUAAUGACUCAUUCGGCGCCUUACG